UACACAUGCAAGUCGAGCGGAGAUGAGGUGCUUGCACCUUAUCUUAGCGGCGGACGGGUGAGUAAUGCUUAGGAAUUUGCCUAUUAGUGGGGGACAACAUUUCGAAAGGAAUGCUAAUACCGCAUACGCCCUACGGGGGAAAGCAGGGGAUCUUCGGACCUUGCGCUAAUAGAUGAGCCUAAGUCGGAUUAGCUAGUUGGUGGGGUAAAGGCCUACCAAGGCGACGAUCUGUAGCGGGUCUGAGAGGAUGAUCCGCCACACUGGGACUGAGACACGGCCCAGACUCCUACGGGAGGCAGCAGUGGGGAAUAUUGGACAAUGGGGGGAACCCUGAUCCAGCCAUGCCGCGUGUGUGAAGAAGGCCUUUUGGUUGUAAAGCACUUUAAGCGAGGAGGAGGAGCUCUAGAUUAAUACUCUAGAUGCUUGGACGUUACUCGCAGAAUAAGCACCGGCUAACUCUGUGCCAGCAGCCGCGGUAAUACAGAGGGUGCAAGCGUUAAUCGGAUUUACUGGGCGUAAAGCGUGCGUAGGUGGUCUUUUAAGUCGGAUGUGAAAUCCCUGAGCUUAACUUAGGAAUUGCAUUCGAUACUGGGAGACUAGAGUAUGGGAGAGGAUGGUAGAAUUCCAGGUGUAGCGGUGAAAUGCGUAGAGAUCUGGAGGAAUACCGAUGGCGAAGGCAGCCAUCUGGCCUAAUACUGACACUGAGGUACGAAAGCAUGGGGAGCAAACAGGAUUAGAUACCCUGGUAGUCCAUGCCGUANACGAUGUCUACUAGCCGUUGGGGUUUUUGAGACUUUAGUGGCGCAGCUAACGCGAUAAGUAGACCGCCUGGGGAGUACGGUCGCAAGACUAAAACUCAAAUGAAUUGACGGGGGCCCGCACAAGCGGUGGAGCAUGUGGUUUAAUUCGAU
rnacentral:rRNA from 1 species